rnacentral:rRNA from 1 species
GAUGAAGGCUUUCGGGUCGUAAAGCACUGUUGGGAAGAACAGCUAAUAGGAAAUGAUUUUAGUUUGACGGUACCAUCCCAGAAAGGGACGGCUAAAUACGUGCCAGCAGCCGCGGUAAUACGUNNGUCCCGAGCGUUAUCCGGAUUUAUUGGGCGUAAAGCGAGCGCAGACGGUUUAUUAAGUCUGAUGUGAAAGCCCGGAGCUCAACUCCGGAAUGGCAUUGGAAACUGGUUAACUUGAGUGCAGUAGAGGUAAGUGGAACUCCAUGUGUAGCGGUGGAAUGCGUAGAUAUAUGGAAGAACACCAGUGGCGAAGGCGGCUUACUGGACUGCAACUGACGUUGAGGCUCGAAAGUGUGGGUAGCAAACAGGAUUAGAUACCCUGGUAGUCCACACCGUAAACGAUGAACACUAGGUGUUAGGNGGUUUCCGCCUCUUAGUGCCGAAGCUAACGCAUUAAGUGUUCCGCCUGGGGAGUACGACCGCAAGGUUGAAACUCAAAGGAAUUGACGGGGACCCGCACAAGCGGUGGAGCAUGUGGUUUAAUUCGAAGCAACGCGAAGAACCUUACCAGGUCUUGACAUCCUUUGAAGCUUUUAGAGAUAGAAGUGUUCUCUUCGGAGACAAAGUGACAGGUGGUGCAUGGUCGUCGUCAGCUCGUGUCGUGAGAUGUUGGGUUAAGUCCCGCAACGAGCGCAACCCUUAUUGUUAGUUGCCAGCAUUCAGAUGGGCACUCUAGCGAGACUGCCGGUGACAAACCGGAGGAAGGCGGGGACGACGUCAGAUCAUCAUGCCCCUUAUGACCUGGGCUACACACGUGCUACAAUGGCGUAUACAACGAGUUGCCAGCCCGCGAGGGUGAGCUAAUCUCUUAAAGUACGUCUCAGUUCGGAUUGUAGUCUGCAACUCGACUACAUGAAGUCGGAAUCGCUAGUAAUCGCGGAUCAGCACGCCGCGGUGAAUACGUUCCCGGGUCUUGUACACACCGCCCGUCACACCAUGGGAGUUUGUAAUGCCCAAAGCCGGUGGCCUAACCUUUUAGGAAGGAGCCGUCUAAGGCAGGACAGAUGACUGGGGGAG